GGGCCUGUAGCUUAGUUGGUAGAGCGCCCCGAUCGCAUCGGGGAGACAGGAGUUCGAUUCUCCUCAGGUCCA
rnacentral:tRNA from 1 species